ensembl:lncRNA
AUGCUCCCAGUAUGGGUGACAUAUUCCCCUGUGUCGUGCAAAUUGGUUGGAACGAUUAGGACCCAUUUUCAAAAUCUUCUUCAAAGAAACCAAAUCUUGACUGACCACAGAAUAAUCGCAGCCUUUAGGAGGAACAGGAACCUGGGUGAUUUUCUUAUUAAGGCAAAGGUGCCACCGCUCUCUGAACCUAAGUCCAGAGACCAAGGAAAACAAUUUUUUUCACCACCAGAAGUGGGUACAGAGUCUCUCUCUCCCUCGCUCUAAUAAAAAUAAGAAAUGAUAUCAGAUGGACUAGACAGUUUCCUCUGGCACUGAUAUUGCAUGUACACUUUAGAGAUUGUAAACAAAUUGUGUUUUAUAAAAACUAACAAAGAAUUGUGUGGUUAUGUUGAUUACUAAACAAAAGCACAAAAGCACUCAGUGUCUUGUGGAGGCUAAAUCCCCUCCACAAUUUAAUGCAGGAAUCUGUCUGCCUUUCUUGUUUUAAUAUAGUGUUUUUAGUUAAUUUAUUAGAAUUUAUAUUUUAUUAUAUCUACCACUCUUCCCGCUAGCUCAGAAGCUGAAUAUUUUCACAAUCAUUUAAUACAAGAACCAGUCAGUCAUAAGGGAUCGACUACAGUAUAUUCCAAAGAGGACCAUCGAGGGAAGGAGAAGAGGAGCAGAGAAGUUGAACAGGAGUCUCAAAGAAGAAAUCUGGAUGAUCCAGCGGCCCCUAGGACCGUGCAAUAAAAACUUUAACGAAAGAGAACUAAAUCAAACUGUGACAGGGAGAACAUACUCUUUAUCUCUGCCUGACCCCAUCACACUCAAUUAACUGAUUUUAAUUAGUAGGCCUUCUCUCCACAUCAUGUCAUAGGCUUUUUCUAUAUCAAAAAAAAAACAAAAAAAAAAAAAAAAAACAAAACAAAAAAAAAAAAAACUGCCACGACCCUCUUUAUUUGUGCUUUCCUGACUUUGUGUUCCAAACACAACACCGGAUCCCUGGAAUUUCUCCCUCUUCUGAACCCACUUUGAUUUAUCAUUUGCUCCAUCAUUUUACAGAUACUCGAUGUUAAAGCUAUAGGUCUGUAAUUUCCUUGGUUUGUCUCAACCUUCCCCUGUUGCCCGCCACUGCCUCUUUCCACCUUCUGAAGUGUUCAAGUGAGCUCUGGUCUUAAAUCCCUGUAGACAUUGAUUACACACAGGUGUUGCCAAUCCGAGUAGACAACACGCCUUCUUCCCAAGGUGGAAACACUGGUACAAUGGAAAAAAACAGCACUCACCUGGAACAUGACAGGGUUGUUGUGAUUGGGUUUCUCUGUAUUACUGUCUUUUUUUGCUGAAAAAAAAAUUUUUUUGAACUGAACUGAAUUUCCACAGCUAGACAUGAGCGUGACACUGAUAAUAUCCUUCUUAGAAGGGAGGCUUUCUAUACAAUCAGUUGAAGGUCUG